ensembl:snoRNA
AUGCAGCGGUCUGACACAAUUUGAGUUUGCUACAGCAAGAAAGUCUAACCUAUUCCAGCACUCUCCCCACUGUAGAUAGGCUGUUAUAUAGACUGAAACAGU